UUUUUUCUUUUUUAAUUUUUUUGGGAUAAUUUCUUCACCAAAAAUCAUUCCAAGGCCCUCAACUGAGUUACCAUAUGCACCUACUAAUAUAAGCAAACACUUGUAUGAAUUGCAAAGAUAUGGCACUACCCAUACUAAUUUAACCUGCAGGAACUGUGGCUUCUAAGAGAACAAAAUGGAAAACGGUAAAAAGCAACAAGGAAAGAAAAGGAAACAAAAAGGUUGAAGUAAAAACACUCAUAUAAUAUGAUGAAAGAAGAUACUACAACAAAAGUGAGACAAGCAUAAAAACCAUUAGAUUCUCUCAUGGAUCCAAUUCUUCCCCCAGCGACGAUCAGACUGAGAGUUGUUCCACCCUUUGUAUUGUCUCAGAUUCUUUCAGCUUAUCUAUUGCUGGGUUCCCAGUUUCCUCUAUUUGAGCUGGUAAUUUAUUUGGCAUAGCAGCACCAAUAGUAGUUGUAUGAUCUUCUUUCAUAAUGUUUAGAGGAUCUUCCUUUUGAACAGCCUGAGAUCCUUCUUUCUGAACAGGUGGAUGAUCUUUUUCAACAGCCAGAGAUUCUUCUUUCCAAACAGCUGAAUGAUCUUUUCGAACAUUCAUUGGGUCUUCUUUUCGAAAUGGCGGUGGAGCAGCAUAUGCUAGUGAAGUUUGCCUAAUGGUAACAGGAGGAGCUUGUUGAGGUAGUCCUCGCAUCACCUGAGGGGGGAGUGAUGGCGAUUGGCGUUGAGGUGCAGCGUAAACAGGCACUACACUUCUUAUUCUGACUGGUUGAGCCAUGCCAUGGCAAUGUGCCCCAAAUUGUCGGAUAGGGACGUAAGGAGCUGCUCCUGCUGCAGGGAAUUUCUGAGAAUGAGUUGCCCAGAGUUCUUGAACAGGUGAUUGUCGUGAAGGCGCAAUUCUGUCAUUUGCUGAAGUUGAUGUGGAUCUGGGUGGAACAGGUCUGUCAACUGCUGUAGUUGAAGUAGGUCUAUUUCGAGGACCUGUCUUCAGGCAAAUUAAGGGGAGGAUUUUAGAUGAGGUAGCAUGGGCAGGCUGUGGACUUGUUGGCCUAGGGCUCUGAAUUUGAAACUUUUUUGAAAAUGGUAUUGGGGAGUUGGCAGAGUUUACAGUUGCUAUUUUUUCCUUCAGACGGUAAUUCGAUAGGGCACGUGCUAUCGUGAUUUGUUCUAGCUCAUCAUUGUUCUCUGGUUCAGAUGAAGAACUUGCAUCUUCCUUUGCCAAUUGCUUUAGAGAUGACCAAGCUG
rnacentral:misc_RNA from 1 species